AGAGUUUGAUCAUGGCUCAGGAUGAACGCUGGCGGCGUGCCUAACACAUGCAAGUCGAGCGAGAAACCUGCAAUUGAAACUUCGGUAGAUUUUGCGGGCGGAAAGCGGCGGACGGGUGAGUAACGCGUAGGCAACCUGCCCUUUGCAGAGGGAUAGCAACGGGAAACUGUUAUUAAAACCUCAUAAUACCGACAUGUCAAAUGACAAGACGGUCAAGGAUUUAUCGGCAAAGGAUGGGCCUGCGUCUGAUUAGUUAGUUGGUAGGGUAACGGCCUACCAGGGCAGCGAUCAGUAGCCGACCUGAGAGGGUGAUCGGCCACAUUGGAACUGAGACACGGUCCAAACUCCUACGGGAGGCAGCAGUGGGGAAUAUUGCACAAUGGGCGAAAGCCUGAUGCAGCAACGCCGCGUGAAGGAUGAAGGCCUUUGGGUCGUAAACUUCUGUCCUUGGGGAAGAAAAAAAUGACGGUACCCCUGGAGGAAGUCCCGGCUAACUACGUGCCAGCAGCCGCGGUAAUACGUAGGGGGCGAGCGUUAUCCGGAAUUAUUGGGCAUAAAGAGUACGUAGGUGGUUUUUUAAGCGCAGGGUUUAAGGCGAUGGCUCAACUGUCGUUCGCCCUGUGAACUGGAAGACUUGAGUACAGGAGAGGAAAGCGGAAUUCCUAGUGUAGCGGUGAAAUGCAUAGAUAUUAGGAGGAACACCAGUGGCGAAGGCGGCUUUCUGGACUGUAACUGACACUGAGGUACGAAAGCGUGGGGAGCAAACAGGAUUAGAUACCCUGGUGGUCCACGCUGUAAACGAUGAGCACUAGGUGUCGGGGUCGCAAGAUCUCGGUGCCGCAGUUAACGCAUUAAGUGCUCCGCCUGGGGAGUACGCACGCAAGUGUGAAACUCAAAGGAAUUGACGGGGACCCGCACAAGCAGCGGAGCAUGUGGUUUAAUUCGAAGCAACGCGAAGAACCUUACCAGAACUUGACAUCCUCCUGACAGGCCUUUAAUCGGGCCCUUCUUCGGACAGGAGAGACAGGUGGUGCAUGGUUGUCGUCAGCUCGUGUCGUGAGAUGUUGGGUUAAGUCCCGCAACGAGCGCAACCCUUGUCAUUAGUUGCUAACAUUAAGUUGAGGACUCUAAUGAGACUGCCGGGGACAACUCGGAGGAAGGUGGGGAUGACGUCAAAUCAUCAUGCCCCUUAUGUUCUGGGCUACACACGUGCUACAAUGGCCGGUACAACGAGAAGCGAAGUCGCAAGGCGGAGCAAACCUCAAAAACCGGUCCCAGUUCGGAUUGCAGGCUGAAACCCGCCUGCAUGAAGCCGGAGUUGCUAGUAAUCGCGAAUCAGAAUGUCGCGGUGAAUGCGUUCCCGGGUCUUGUACACACCGCCCGUCACACCAUGGAAGUUGGGGGCGCCCGAAGUUGGUCAAAUAAUAGAUUACCUAAGGCGAAAUCAAUGACUGGGGUGAAGUCGUAACAAGGUAACCGUA
rnacentral:rRNA from 1 species